rnacentral:rRNA from 1 species
UACGUAGGGGGCUAGCGUUGUCCGGAUUUAUUGGGCGUAAAGAGCGUGUAGGCGGCCAGGUAGGUCUGCUGUGAAAACUCGAGGCUCAACCUCGAGACGCCGAUGGAAACCAUAUGGCUAGAGUCCGGAAGAGGAGAGUGGAAUUCCUGGUGUAGCGGUGAAAUGCGCAGAUAUCAGGAAGAACACCCGUGGCUAAGGCGGCUCUCUAGUACGGUACUGACGCUGAGACGCGAAAGCGUGGGGAGCGAACAGG